GAGGGGAUAGCUCAGUGGUAGAGUGUCUGCCUAGCAUUCAUAAGGUCUUAGAUUCAAUCCCUAGUACCUCCA
rnacentral:tRNA from 1 species